AUCCAGUUGACGAGUCUCAAAUAGGACGAAACGCACCUCCUAGAU
rnacentral:hammerhead_ribozyme from 1 species